GAAAGGCAGAUACCGAGUGAGGAGGAGCCCUGGCUUGAGCGCUCAGCCGGUUGGAUGCUGCACGUGGACGUUGGCAUCUUUGCCUGCCUUUGCCACAGAGUUUCUCCACAACGAGACAGCCAGGAGAAGCUUCUUUACGUAAUGGCUCUAUGAAAGUUUUGGCCUUAUUUCAAAAGAAAUUCUCCGGAAGAUAGAUGUCUGUGUGAAUCUUUGGCCAUGCUACCAAAAAAUCAGCAUUAUUUUUUAAAGUCAGAAUUCUUUGCAGACGUAAAUGGGCCAAAAAUAUGAAAUGGACCGGAGAAGAAAUCAAAGCACCAGCCAACAUACUGUGUUUUGUUGGCCAGCAUUAAAUAGGAGGAGCGUAACCAUUUCCUCAUUGACCUAUGGGAUCAAAAUGGAAGUCAAACAAUGCAAGGCCUUAAUCAGUAUUGGUAUCAGUAACUGAAGACCUGCAACUACCAGAGCAGAAGAAAGGAGAGAGUAAGUUAAUCUGUGGUGGAGGCUAAAUUAGCACAGCUAUGUUCACAGAGCCAAGCAGCCUGAAAAUUCACAGCUGCCAGAAAACUUCCUGCUGUCAGAGAGAAAGGACAGCCAUUUGGACAAUCAGUUGCUGCUCUCAGUUUUGGGUUCACCUUCAUUCAACGAGGGAAUAGAAAUUUGAGAGGAAAAAG